rnacentral:rRNA from 1 species
GAUGAACGCUGGCGGCGUGCCUAAUACAUGCAAGUCGAGCGAACGGACGAGCAGCUUGCUUCUCUGAUGUUAGCGGCGGACGGGUGAGUAACACGUGGAUAACCUACCUAUAAGACUGGGAUAACUUCGGGAAACCGGAGCUAAUACCGGAUAAUAUUUUGAACCGCAUGGUUCAAUAGUGAAAGACGGUCUUGCUGUCACUUAUAGAUGGAUCCGCGCUGCAUUAGCUAGUUGGUAAGGUAACGGCUUACCAAGGCAACGAUGCAUAGCCGACCUGAGAGGGUGAUCGGCCACACUGGAACUGAGACACGGUCCAGACUCCUACGGGAGGCAGCAGUAGGGAAUCUUCCGCAAUGGGCGAAAGCCUGACGGAGCAACGCCGCGUGAGUGAUGAAGGUCUUCGGAUCGUAAAACUCUGUUAUUAGGGAAGAACAUAUGUGUAAGUAACUGUGCACAUCUUGACGGUACCUAAUCAGAAAGCCACGGCUAACUACGUG